rnacentral:rRNA from 1 species
CGGUAAUUCCAGCUCCGAUAGCAUAUACUAAAGUUGUUACAGUUAAAAAGCUCGUAGUUGGAUUUCUGCGGGGACGGAGCGGCCGGACGCAACUUGCGUCUCGAGCUAGCGCUUUCCCCGCAUCCUGCCGCGAACCGUGCUACCAUUAGCUUGGUGGCGCUGGGGAUCGGCUCGAUUACUUUGAGAAAAAUAGAGUGUUCAAAGCAGGCCACACGCCUUGAAUAAGUUAGCAUGGAAUAAUGACUAAGGACUUUGGUUCUUUUCGUUGGUGUUCGGGACUGAAGUAAUGAUUGAUAGGGACAGUUGGGGCGGUCUGUAUUCCAAAGCGAGAGGUGAAAUUCUUAGACCUUCGGAAGACAAACAGCUGCGAAAGCGUUCCGCAAGGAUGUUCCCUUUGAUCAAGAACGAAAGUUGGGGGAUCGAAGACGAUCAGAUACCGUCGUAGUCUCAACUAUAAACUAUACCAGCUAGGGAUCGGCCAACGUUUAAUUAUUCGACUUGGUCGGCACCUUAUGAGAAAUCAAAGCAUCUGGGUUCCGGGGGGAGUAUGGUCGCAAGGCUGAAACUUAAAGGAAUUGACGGAAGGGCACCACCAGGCGUGGAGCCUGUGGCUUAAUUUGACUCAACACGGGAAAACUUACCAGGUCCAGACAUAGGAAGGAUUGACAGAUUGAUAGCUCUUUCUUGAUUCUGUGGGUGGUGGUGCAUGGCCGUUUUUAGUCGGUGAAGUGAUUUGUCUGCUUAAUUGCGUUAACGGACGAGACCCCAGCCUGCUAAAUAGCGCGGCCGAGCUUUGCUCGGUGCGAGCUUCUUAGAGGGACCAUGAUGCGCGAUAGCACAAGGAAGUUUGGGGCAACAACAGGUCUGUGAUGCCCUUAGAUGUUCUGGGCCGCACACGGGCUACACUGGCGCCUGCAACGAGCAUAUCAGCUGGCCCGAGAGGGUCUUGGCUAAUCUUUGGAACCGGCGCCGUGCUUGGGAUUGACCAUUGCAAUUGUUGGUCAUGCAACGAGGAAUGCCUUGUAAACGCGAGUCAUCAGCUCGCAUUGAAUACGUCCCUGCCCUUUGUACACACCGCCCGUCGCUCCUACCGAUGAAUGUUCCGAUGAAAUUUUCGGAGAGCGCCGGAGAACGGGGCUCUGCCCUGCAGAACUGGAGGCUCAAAGUCACUUAAAUCUGAACAUUUCGAGGAAGGAGAAGUCGUAACAAGGUAGCCGU